UACGUAGGGUGCAAGCGUUAAUCGGAAUUACUGGGCGUAAAGCGUGCGCAGGCGGUUGUGCAAGACCGAUGUGAAAUCCCCGGGCUUAACCUGGGAAUGGCAUUGGUGACUGCACGGCUAGAGUGUGUCAGAGGGGGGUAGAAUUCCACGUGUAGCAGUGAAAUGCGUAGAUAUGUGGAGGAACACCGAUGGCGAAGGCAGCCCCCUGGGCUAACACUGACGCUCAUGCACGAAAGCGUGGGGAGCAAACAGG
rnacentral:rRNA from 1 species